rnacentral:rRNA from 1 species
CUGACGAGUGGCGAACGGGUGAGUAAUAUAUCGGAACGUACCCAAGAGUGGGGGAUAACGUAGCGAAAGUUACGCUAAUACCGCAUACGAUCUAAGGAUGAAAGCAGGGGACCUUCGGGCCUUGUGCUCCUGGAGCGGCCGAUAUCUGAUUAGCUAGUUGGUGAGGUAAAGGCUCACCAAGGCGACGAUCAGUAGCUGGUCUGAGAGGACGACCAGCCACACUGGAACUGAGACACGGUCCAGACUCCUACGGGAGGCAGCAGUGGGGAAUUUUGGACAAUGGGCGCAAGCCUGAUCCAGCAAUGCCGCGUGAGUGAAGAAGGCCUUCGGGUUGUAAAGCUCUUUUGUCAGGGAAGAAACGGCUGUGGCUAAUAUCCACGGCUAAUGACGGUACCUGAAGAAUAAGCACCGGCUAACUACGUGCCAGCAGCCGCGGUAAUACGUAGGGUGCAAGCGUUAAUCGGAAUUACUGGGCGUAAAGCGUGCGCAGGCGGUUUUGUAAGUCUGUCGUGAAAUCCCCGGGCUCAACCUGGGAAUUGCGAUGGAGACUGCAAGGCUAGAAUCUGGCAGAGGGGGGUAGAAUUCCACGUGUAGCAGUGAAAUGCGUAGAGAUGUGGAGGAACACCGAUGGCGAAGGCAGCCCCCUGGGUCAAGAUUGACGCUCAUGCACGAAAGCGUGGGGAGCAAACAGGAUUAGAUACCCUGGUAGUCCACGC